rnacentral:rRNA from 1 species
CCUACGGGUGGCAGCAGUAGGGAAUAUUGCUCAAUGGGGGAAACCCUGAAGCAGCAACGCCGCGUGGGGGAUGAAGGUUUUCGGAUUGUAAACUCCUUUUGUUAGAGAAGAUAAUGACGGUAUCUAACGAAUAAGCACCGGCUAACUCCGUGCCAGCAGCCGCGGUAAUACGGAGGGUGCCAGCGUUACUCGGAAUCACUAGGUGUAAAGAGCGCGUAGGCGGGAUAGCAAGUCAGAUGUGAAAUCCUAUGGCUUAACCAUAGAACUGCAUUUGAAACUGUUAUUCUAGAGUAUGGGAGAGGUAGGUGGAAUUCUUGGUGUAGGGGUAAAAUGCGUAGAGAUCAAGAGGAAUACUCAUUGCGAAGGCGACCUGCUAGAACAUAACUGACGCUGAUGCGCGAAAGCGUGGGGAGCAAACAGGAUUAGAUACCCCUGUAGUC